GGCGAGAUGGCCGAGCGGUCUAAGGCGCUGUGUUAAGGUGAUACCCGUAUCAUCCGCAGUCUUCGGACGUGGGUUCGAAUCCCACUCUCGUCA
rfam:Trichosporon oleaginosus strain IBC0246 unplaced genomic scaffold CC85scaffold_92, whole genome shotgun sequence.